rnacentral:rRNA from 1 species
CUGGCGGCAUGCCUUACACAUGCAAGUCGAACGGCAGCACGGGAGCAAUCCUGGUGGCGAGUGGCGAACGGGUGAGUAAUGUAUCGGAACGUACCUUUCAGUGGGGGAUAACGUAGCGAAAGUUACGCUAAUACCGCAUAUUCUGUGCGCAGGAAAGCAGGGGAUCGCAAGACCUUGCGCUGAUUGAGCGGCCGAUAUCAGAUUAGCUAGUUGGUGAGGUAAAGGCUCACCAAGGCGACGAUCUGUAGCGGGUCUGAGAGGAUGAUCCGCCACACUGGAACUGAGACACGGUCCAGACUCCUACGGGAGGCAGCAGUGGGGAAUUUUGGACAAUGGGGGCAACCCUGAUCCAGCCAUGCCGCGUGAGUGAAGAAGGCCUUCGGGUUGUAAAGCUCUUUCGGCCGGGAAGAAAUCGCAUGGGUUAAUACCCUGUGCGGAUGACGGUACCGGCAUAAGAAGCACCGGCUAACUACGUGCCAGCAGCCGCGGUAAUACGUAGGGUGCGAGC